rnacentral:lncRNA from 1 species
AAGAAAGGAAAAGGAGAAGUCGAACCUCAAAGCUAUGGGAUUUCUAGAGACCACAAAGACACAUAGAAGAAGAUGACUCCUAAACCUUUAAAGCCCUUGAUACCCACAGGGAAGCUCUUGGUUGCAAAGCGAGUUCUCAGGCUCUCAGAAUAGCAGUAGAAGAUUCAAAGGGAAGAAAGUAACUUGGUAUAUAUAGAACUCACCGAUAGUCGAGAUGAAUUCAUCCAAAAUGAAAUUGUCCCA